rnacentral:rRNA from 1 species
ACUGAACGCUGGCGGCAUGCCUUACACAUGCAAGUCGAACGGCAGCACGGGGCAACCUGGUGGCGAGUGGCGAACGGGUGAGUAAUGCAUCGGAACGUGCCAUUGAGUGGGGGAUAACGUAGCGAAAGUUGCGCUAAUACCGCAUAUUCUGUGAGCAGGAAAGCAGGGGACCGCAAGGCCUUGCGCUCUUUGAGCGGCCGAUGUCAGAUUAGCUAGUUGGUGAGGUAACGGCUUACCAAGGCGACGAUCUGUAGCGGGUCUGAGAGGAUGAUCCGCCACACUGGAACUGAGACACGGUCCAGACUCCUACGGGAGGCAGCGAGUGGGGAAUUUUGGACAAU